AGCUUUCUCACAUCCUUACCCUGCUUGAGGGAGUUUGGGUUGGUAGUGAUUGUCCUUACUUUAGUGAACUAAAGAAAAAAUGCAGUCCUGGAGAUUGACCUUGUCGUUCUGGGAUGCGAUGAUGGGCCUGGAACCGAAUCAGACACGUAAAACAAAACAGAAGAACAUUCCCAAAGGCAUAAUUAAGAUCUUCUAAGGAAGCAGGACCAAAAGUGCGUUUAUGAGCAACUGCGAAGUGGGAAAGUUCCAAUCUCUGAGUGGGAGAAUACACCUGGAGAAGACCCCUGAACGCUUUUUGCCGGACCGCGUAAGCGGAGCCGACCUAGAAGAGCGAAUGCUGGCAGGCUGGCCCAAUGUUAAACAGCAUAGUGGUUAGAGACGUGGACUACAUAGCAAAGGGUCCCGCGUUCGACUCCCGUUACAAUCAAAACACAUUCAACACUACUGCGGACCGGCUGAACUAGGCGUGCCUGGUUUCUUAAGAGCUCUGAGAACUAACGUUAGGUUUGACAUCACUAGACAUGGCAACAUUUGGGGAGGAAAAAUAAAUACAUGUAAAUGACUUGCUCCACGCACAAAUAAGUCACUACAUUUGUUUAUUUAGGCCGUGCACAUUUACACAGGUGAUUGUGAUGUUAAAGGAUACUUUGGGGUUUACUGUUGUGUAACAGAGUUAAUGUUAGCCUUCUUGCUAGUUAACUAUAACGUUACUAAACUGUCAAUACAGUUGCCUGGUGGGUGUCGACAUGGGAAUGUUCUCAACUAAAACUCCUGAAAUGAAACGAUUUCCAUAAUCUAUAAAAUUUUAUGGGAGUAGAUGUUAUUUCAAGGA